CCUACGGGAGGCAGCAGUGGGGGAUAUUGGACAAUGGGGGAAACCCUGAUCCAGCGACGCCGCGUGAGUGAAGAAGUAUUUCGGUAUGUAAAGCUCUAUUAGCAGGGAAGAAAGAAAUGACGGUACCUGAGUACGAAGCCCCGGCUAACUACGUGCCAGCAGCCGCGGUAAUACGGAGGCGGCAGGCGUUAUCCGGAUUUACUGGUUGUAAAGGGAGAGUAGACGGUAAGGCAAGUCUGGAGUGAAGGGCGGGGGCCUAACCCCCGGACUGCCGUGGAAACUGUGUAUCUGGAGAGCAGGAGAGGCAGGCGGAAUGCCUAGUGUAGCGGUGAAAUGCGUAGAUAUUAGGCAGAACACCGAUGGCGAAGGCAGCCUGCUG
rnacentral:rRNA from 1 species